rnacentral:rRNA from 1 species
GAUGAACGCUAGCGGCAGGCUUAAUACAUGCAAGUCGAGGGGCAGCAUGAUUGUAGCAAUACAAUUGAUGGCGACCGGCAAACGGGUGCGGAACACGUACACAACCUUCCAAUAAGUGGGGAAUAGCCCAGAGAAAUUUGGAUUAAUACCCCGUAACAUAACGAUGUGGCAUCACAUUGUUAUUAUAGAUUUUUCGCUUAUUGAUGGGUGUGCGGCUGAUUAGAUAGUUGGCGGGGUAACGGCCCACCAAGUCUACGAUCAGUAGCUGAUGUGAGAGCAUGAUCAGCCACACGGGCACUGAGCCACGUGCCCGACUCCUACGGGAUGCAGCAGUAAGGAAUAUUGGACAAUGGACGCAAGUCUGAUCCAGCCAUGCCGCGUGAAGGAUUAAGGUCCUCUGGAUUGUAAACUUCUUUUAUAAGGGACGAAAAAAGGCUUUUCUAAGUCGUCUGACGGUACCUUAUGAAUAAGCACCGGCUAACUCCGUGCCAGCAGCCGCAGUAAUAC